rnacentral:rRNA from 1 species
GUCUACAACCAUGCUACCCUGAACAAGCCCGAUCCCGUCUGAUCUCAGAAGCUAAGCAGGGUUGGGCCUGGGAGACCACCUAGAAAGAACAGGAGCUAUAGGCA